CUUCUACAAACAUUACUGAACAAUGUUUCGCUCUCAGAAGCUCAGUGCAUUCCAGCACUGUGGUGUCAUGAUCUAGGAUGCCACCAGAUGCCAGGCAGGCAAGCAGAUAGUUUUGACAAUACAUAGUAAGUGCAUUCUUGCCACUAUACAACUUUCUCAAGGAAAAUCAUAUGAUAGGUUGACUGACUGAUUUAGGACUUACCUCUCUGUGAGUUGAUGCAGCAAGUGGAUCACAGAAUUUUGAAUGUGACACACCAACAUUAUCAUCAUCAUCCUUAAAAACAGAGAGGAAACUUUAAGUUGCCUUCAAAGAAAAAUCAUAAAAAAUAAAGAUAAAAAGUUAGAAAACAUAUAUAAUGUAAACUUUUCUUUUCAAACAUGUCAAUAUUUGUGUCAACCGUGUCAAUGUUUGUCUCGUCAGAAGUAUCUUGUGUGGAUGUCAGAGGCCUUUUUUUGUUUAAGGGUAGUCUUCAAACGUUUCAUCACAUCAGCUCUUGAGAAUUCUUAAGCUAAACGGCCCUAAACGGAUUCCCAUUCAUUCUCUAUGGUAGUGCUAAACCACUACGGAUGUAAUAUACUUUUGGCCACUAGGACUCCAGGUCGCUGUUCCCCCGUUUCUGUGUUUUUAAGUUACUCGCAGUGUCUGCAGACUCCAGGCAGAGACGGUCACUAUAAAUCACCGGCGCAUCGCGGCGAUUAUUUAUCUACACGCUGAUCAAAAGGUCAAGAUGCAAAAAACCUGAAUCGUGAAGCACAAUGAAGCACCCAGGUUUAUUCUCCAGGAGCCGCCUAAAGAAGCCAGACGAAAUGAAGACGACCCCACCUUGCAGGACAAGUCUACGUUUUAACAUUUUUAAGCAUUUAAAUCAAUUUGAACAUUAACAAUUUUAGGCACAACUGAAAUAAAGAUUUUUAUGAAAUAUACCAUGA